rnacentral:lncRNA from 1 species
AUGUUUUUAGUGAACUCCAAAGCCAUGUGUGUUCUCUAUCCACUACAGAGGCUGAAGAGCAGCAUUUAUGCAAUGAAAACUCAGGAUGAGGUUACAGCAAGUCCCCAUUCUAUCCUUGCUUCACCAGAGUGACAGAAUUCACAAUAAGGCAGUGAAGCUUAUCGUGUAGAUCCCACUGUUCAUCUUGCAUAAGAGCAGCAGGCUGGGCCACAGCUGUCGUGAACAGAAGAGCUGGACUGCAGACUACAGGACUACAAGAUCAGCAUCAUAAUUAAUUUCGCUCUUACUAAUUUUAACAUAUGAAACACUGAAAUUCAGCAUAUGUACCAAGUUACCAACUGCACACCUGACCCAGGCUGGUCUGCUUAUUGACUUCCAUCAUAUAAAGAAGAAAUACAAGAUUUAACUUCAACUUCACUCUGCACCUGCUUCCCCAAUCAAGACUUACCAGAGCACAGAAAGAGUUCAAGUAGUGCAUUUCAUUUCUGUAGGAACUCACUGCAGUAUGCAGUGCUGUCCUGAAACCUGACAUUUCUGUUUCCAGAGUCAUUUAUCAGUAAGCUCAUGUUUAUGUUGUGCAUGAAGCAGUUUGAGACAGACGUGAAGUAAAUGGUGCAAUAAGCAUUUGUACGUAUUGGGACUGGGAGGAUGAUACACAGUCCACAAGUUCAUGGGAAGGCAGCAUGCAUGACCUUACAAUAUAUGAAACAGGAGGCAUUCUAGCUCUGUAACAUAGAAGAUAAACGUAUACCAAAGCAUUU